rnacentral:rRNA from 1 species
CCCUGGUAGUCCACGCUGUAAACGAUGUCGACUUGGAGGUUGUGCCCUUGAGGUGUGGCUUCCGGAGCUAACGCGUUAAGUCGACCGCCUGGGGAGUACGACCGCAAGGUUAAAACUCAAAUGAAUUGACGGGGGCCCGCACAAGCGGUGGAGCAUGUGGUUUAAUUCGAUGCAACGCGAAGAACCUUACCUGGUCUUGACAUCCACGGAAGUUUUCAGAGAUGAGAAUGUGCCUUCGGGAACCGUGAGACAGGUGCUGCAUGGCUGUCGUCAGCUCGUGUUGUGAAAUGUUGGGUUAAGUCCCGCAACGAGCGCAACCCUUAUCCUUUGUUGCCAGCGGUCCGGCCGGGAACUCAAAGGAGACUGCCAGUGAUAAACUGGAGGAAGGUGGGGAUGACGUCAAGUCAUCAUGGCCCUUACGACCAGGGCUACACACGUGCUACAAUGGCGCAUACAAAGAGAAGCGACCUCGCGAGAGCAAGCGGACCUCAUAAAGUGCGUCGUAGUCCGGAUUGGAGUCUGCAACUCGACUCCAUGAAGUCGGAAUCGCUAGUAAUCGUGGAUCAGAAUGCCACGGUGAAUACGUUCCCGGGCCUUGUACACACCGCCCGUCACACCAUGGGAGUGGGUUGCAAAAGAAGUAGGUAGCUUAACCUUCGGGAGGGCGCUUACCACUUUGUGAUUCAUGACUGGGGUGAAGUCGUAACAAGGUAACCGUAGGGGAACCUGCGGUUGGAUCACCUCCUUACCUUAAAGAAGC